rnacentral:lncRNA from 10 species
CUCUCGCCUGCCUUCGGCCCUUAGGCUCCGGGAGAUUGCAAAUAACCUGCUUUCUUUCUGUUCCCAGGUGGCGUCGGACCCCUGUCAGAGAGUAAAUCUCAAGUAAGGUACCUGCCAUCGGCAGAUUUGAGCUUUCUUCUUGGACACCUAAUACCCACAGUCCUCCAGGCUCCGGUAGACUGCAAAUGACCUGCUUUCUUUCUGUUCCCGGGCUGCGUUUGGACCCCUGUCGGAUAGUAAAUCCCAAGCUCCGGUAGACUGCAAAUGACCUGCUUUCUUUCUGUUCCCGGGCUGCGUUUGGACCCCUGUCGGACAGUAAAUCCCAAGAAUGGAACAGAUAAGAAGAUACUGAAAUUGGACGGUGCUGCCGUGCGGCUGCCGCAGGACACCUUUAAUAUCCCUGUUUCUCAGGCUGUAGAUGAAGGGGUUCAGCAUGGAGGUGAUCACCGUGUACAUCACUGAGGCCACUGCAGCCUUUCUCGGGGAAGAUGACACAUCUGAACUGAGGUACCCUCCAAAGCCUGUUCCGUAAAAUCAGCAAACAACUGACAGGAUAACUUCAGGAAGUGGGUAUUAAUUCUCACGGUAUAAGUGAAGACAUUAAGCACCAGAGUUUAAGUAGCUUGAUCCACUGAAAGAGAUUCAACUGUGUGGAACCUAUGCCGUGGAGAAUUGCUUUCUGCCAUUGUUAUCGUCCAGCAGUUGCCGAAUAGCUCUGACCUGAGCAAAGCAGUGAAACGCGGUGCUGUUGAGUGGGUUGCCACUGCACCUUUUUCAACUACUCUAGUCUUGUGGAGAAAAUACCCCUUCUAAAUUUUUUCUUCAUUGAAUACUCUCCCUCAGCUCCAGAGUACCAUAUAGAGUUUUCUUGUAUUUUAGAGUUACUGUUUUAUCAAAGUUUACCAGUCUUUUGUAUUACAUUUCUCCUGUCUAA